rnacentral:rRNA from 1 species
AAUGUUGGCAGCAGGGGCGAAUGGUGAACAAUGCACGCAGGGCGGAUGCAGAGACGCCGCGGGCGGUAAGACGGCAUUCCUUUUGUAAACCUCAACCAGUUCAGAAGAAGGGAAAGUGACGGUACCUCCAGAAGAAGCGCCGGCUAAAUACGUGCCAGCAGCCGCGGUAAUAUGUAGGGGGCCAGCGUUUUCUGGAAUUAUUGGGCGUAAAGAGCUGGUAGGCGGUUUGUCGCGUUUGCCGUGAAAAUCCGGGGGUCAACCCCGGAUAUGCGGUGGGUACGGGCAGACUAGAGUGAUGUAGGGGAGAGGGGAAUUCCUGGUGUAGCGGUGAAAUGCGCAGAUAUCAGGAGGAACACCGAUGGGGAAGGCAGGUCUUUGGGCAUUAACUGACGCUGAGGAGCGAAAACAUGGGGAGGGAACAGGAUUAGAUACCCCGGUAGUCCAUGCCGUAAACGGUGGGCACUAGGUGUGGGGGACAUUCCACGUUUUCGCGCCGUAGCUAACGCA